rnacentral:rRNA from 1 species
GACGAACGCUGGCGGCGUGCUUAACACAUGCAAGUCGAACGGAAAGGCCCUGCUUUUGUGGGGUGCUCGAGUGGCGAACGGGUGAGUAACACGUGAGUAACCUGCCCUUGACUUUGGGAUAACUUCAGGAAACUGGGGCUAAUACCGGAUAGGAGCUCCUGCUGCAUGGUGGGGGUUGGAAAGUUUCGGCGGUUGGGGAUGGACUCGCGGCUUAUCAGCUUGUUGGUGGGGUAGUGGCUUACCAAGGCUUUGACGGGUAGCCGGCCUGAGAGGGUGACCGGCCACAUUGGGACUGAGAUACGGCCCAGACUCCUACGGGAGGCAGCAGUGGGGAAUAUUGCACAAUGGGCGGAAGCCUGAUGCAGCAACGCCGCGUGAGGGAUGACGGCCUUCGGGUUGUAAACCGCUUUCGCCUGUGACGAAGCGUGAGUGACGGUAAUGGGUAAAGAAGCACCGGCCAACUACGUG